UUUUUUUUUUUUUUUUUGGGGCACUUUUUUUUUUUUUUGCUUUUUAGGGCCACACCUGCGGCUUAUGGAAGUUCCCUGGCUAGGGGUCAAAUCAGAGCAAUAGCUAGAGGCCUACAUCACAGCCACAGCAAGGCAGCAUCCUUAACCCACUGAGCAAGGUCAGGGAUGGAACUUGCGUCCUCAUGGAUACUAGUUGGGCUCCUUAGUGCUAAGCCACAACAGGAAAUCCCUAGAUUCUUUAAAAAGAGACAGUCCUGGGUAAACACAUAGCACAUGGCAGUCAGUCCUCAGAUCCUUGAGAAAAAAACUUUUUGUCUUUUUAGGGCCACACCUGCGGUAUAUGGAAGUUCCCAGGCUAGGGAUCAAAUUGAAUUGGAACUGCGGCUGCCAGCCUACACCACAGCCACAGCAACUCAGGAUCCAGGCCUCAUCUGCAAUCUACACCACAUCUCUGGCAAUGCCGCAUCCUUAACCUACUGGGCCAGGGAUCAAACCUGAGUCCUCGUGGGUACCAGUCAGUUUCAUUACCAAUGAGCCACAAUGGAAACUCCACGAAAAAAACGUUUGAGUUUCUAAGGGUCAUUCCCAGAGGAAUUACUGAUAUGAUCAAAGAACUGCUGCUUGGGACUGUCCACCCCUUCACCCACCCAUUCACUCAUGAAACAUUUGCUAAGCACUUGCUGGACCCUAGGCACUGUACUGAGGCCUAGAAAAUACAAGGAUGGGCACAACCAGAUAUAGUCCACACCUCUGCAGAGCUCAUAGGUGAGGGGGGAAGAGACACAGUCAUCACACAGUAGAGAUACACUUUGACAGGUCCUCACAGGAAAAAUACAAUGUAAGUGCAUGUCCUUAGGAGCAUUUGACCUAAUCAGGAAGGUCAGAGAAGGUUUUUCUGGGGGAAGUGGGUGAGUAGGAGUUACCUACAUUUAGUAGGAGGAGGAGGAACCGAGGAGCAUUCCACAAUGCAGAGUACUAACUACUAUACGAUCACGGCACACAGGCCAAGCGACAAGAUUUCCAGAUACAUGAACAGCAGGUGCCAAGGCCCUGAGGCUGAAAGGAAUGUGUGCAGAUGGAAAGAAGCCCGAUGCACGUGGCCAGUAUAAAGCGAUCCAAGAGCGUGGUGCAGGCUGACACUGGAGAGGCUGGCAGGGCCCAGAACAGGCCGAUGGGUUCCCCAAACCCCCACCUCCAAUUCAUUAUGCCUGAAGAAAGGUGUUACAAGACUUGUGAAUGAAUUUCCAAUUUUAUUUCACUAAAGGCAGCAUCCACACAGUGGAGGCACAAACCCGGAUCCAGGUAGCCCAGCCUCAGAGUAGGGGCAGGAUGCAGAGAGUGGAUACUCUGAAGGAGGAGAGUUCCCUGCAGAGGGAGGAAGGGAGCUCUUGAAGAGUUAGAGCUGUUCCAACUGGAGGUUGUGGAAGUGAGGCGGUGGGGGGGGGGGGGGGGGGGGAGCUGAGGACUUUCAACUCCAUCCUAGGAGGGUAGGAGUCAAGCUAUGGAACCAUUAUGGCCUCAGACCUCCCAUGAAAUGGGGCCAGGGCCCUGGCCAGAGGAAGAGAAAGCAGUCCCUCCCAGGGAGCAGGGCAUGUGGGGAAAAUGGGGCUCCUGCCCAAGCCCUUGGAUGCCCUUCUGGGCCCUGCUGAGAAGGCACCAUUGGGGCAGGACUGGGCAGAGACCUCCAGUGCUCCUGCCCCCUCAGCAGUGAGCAGUCUGAGAACCUCUGUCCCAGACCCCCAGGCCCUGCAUGGUCCAGGCUGCAUGCUGAAGCCCUGUAGACUCCCUGCGGGCUCCCCACCCCUCAGCCUUGCCCACCAAAGUCAUUGUGGGUAUGCUGCCUACAUUUCAGUGCAGGUUCUGUCAGAAACCACUGGGCUCUGAGGGACAGAGCCUGCAUCUGUCCUGAGUGGGAGGGGAGAAGGGAGUCCCCCACCCAGCCACCUUGCCCGGUUCAGCCCCAGGCUCUCCAUCCUCUCCCACACUGUGAACAAGAUGCCUGAGGAGAUGGCUCCUGCUGUUCCCCAGAUUCCUUUCACCUUCUUCCCUGCAGGGGAGAGCUGCACUGGGAGGGGAGGUGGGAGUUGGGGCCGAAUGGAAAAGCAAGGAUCUGCGCCACAUCUGCCACCGAAACCACAGCUCACGGCAAUGCCAGAUCCUUAACCCGCUGAGCGAGGCUAGAUAUUGAACCUGCAUUCUCAAGGUUACUAGUCGGAUUUGUUACUGCUGAGCCAUGACAAGAAUGCCCAAACUUCCCUCUUCACAUAAGGACACCAGUCACUGGAUUAGGGCUCAAUCUGACCU
ensembl:lncRNA